rnacentral:rRNA from 1 species
GAUGAACGCUGGCGGCGUGCUUAACACAUGCAAGUCGAACGGAAAGGCCCAAGCUUGCUUGGGUACUCGAGUGGCGAACGGGUGAGUAACACGUGGGUGAUCUGCCCUGCACUUCGGGAUAAGCCUGGGAAACUGGGUCUAAUACCGGAUAGGACCACAUUUUGGAUGGUGUGGUGGAAAGUUUUUCGGUGUGGGAUGAGCUCGCGGCCUAUCAGCUUGUUGGUGGGGUAAUGGCCUACCAAGGCGUCGACGGGUAGCCGGCCUGAGAGGGUGUACGGCCACAUGGGGACUGAGAUACGGCGCAGACUCCUACGGGAGGCAGCAGUGGGGAAUAUUGCACAAUGGGCGCAAGCCUGAUGCAGCGACGCCGCGUGGGGGGUGACGGCCUUCGGGUUGUAAACUCCUUUCGCUAGGGACGAAGCGUUUUUGUGACGGUACCUGGAGAAGAAGCACCGGCUAACUACGUG